GAUGAACGCUGGCGGCGUGCCUAAUACAUGCAAGUCGAGCGAACAGACGAGGAGCUUGCUCCUCUGACGUUAGCGGCGGACGGGUGAGUAACACGUGGAUAACCUACCUAUAAGACUGGGAUAACUUCGGGAAACCGGAGCUAAUACCGGAUAAUAUAUUGAACCGCAUGGUUCAAUAGUGAAAGACGGUUUUGCUGUCACUUAUAGAUGGAUCCGCGCCGCAUUAGCUAGUUGGUAAGGUAACGGCUUACCAAGGCAACGAUGCGUAGCCGACCUGAGAGGGUGAUCGGCCACACUGGAACUGAGACACGGUCCAGACGCCUACGGGAGGCAGCAGUAGGGAAUCUUCCGCAAUGGGCGAAAGCUUGACGGAGCAACGCCGCGUGAGUGAUGAAGGUCUUCGGAUCGUAAAAAUCUGUUAUUAGGGAAGAACAAAUGUGUAAGUAACUAUGCACGUCUUGACGGUAACUAAUCAGAAAGCCACGGCUAACUACGUG
rnacentral:rRNA from 1 species